rnacentral:rRNA from 1 species
GACGAACGCUGGCGGCGUGCUUAACACAUGCAAGUCGAACGCUGAAGCUUGGUGCUUGCACUGGGUGGAUGAGUGGCGAACGGGUGAGUAAUACGUGAGUAACCUGCCCUUGACUCUGGGAUAAGCCUGGGAAACUGGGUCUAAUACUGGAUACGACAUGUCACCGCAUGGUGGUGUGUGGAAAGGGUUUUACUGGUUUUGGAUGGGCUCACGGCCUAUCAGCUUGUUGGUGGGGUAAUGGCCCACCAAGGCGACGACGGGUAGCCGGCCUGAGAGGGUGACCGGCCACACUGGGACUGAGACACGGCCCAGACUCCUACGGGAGGCAGCAGUGGGGAAUAUUGCACAAUGGGCGGAAGCCUGAUGCAGCGACGCCGCGUGAGGGAUGACGGCCUUCGGGUUGUAAACCUCUUUCAGCACGGAAGAAGCGAAAGUGACGGUACGUGCAGAAGAAGCGCCGGCUAACUACGUG